GCGCCGUUGGUGUAGGGGUAACACACAAUUUGAUCUUGUCUUCAUCAUCUGUUUAAGUAACAAGUUGAGUCCUGGGUUCGAUUCCUAGACGGCGCG